GAUGAACGCUGGCGGCGUGCCUAAUACAUGCAAGUCGAGCGAACGGACGAGAAGCUUGCUUCUCUGAUGUUAGUGGCGGACGGGUGAGUAACACGUGGAUAACCUACCUAUAAGACUGGGAUAACUUCGGGAAACCGGAGCUAAUACCGGAUAAUAUUUUGAACCGCAUGGUUCAAAAGUGAAAGACGGUCUUGCUGUCACUUAUAGAUGGAUCCGCGCUGCAUUAGCUAGUUGGUAAGGUAACGGCUUACCAAGGCAACGAUGCAUAGCCGACCUGAGAGGGUGAUCGGCCACACUGGAACUGAGACACGGUCCAGACUCCUACGGGAGGCAGCAGUAGGGAAUCUUCCGCAAUGGGCGAAAGCCUGACGGAGCAACGCCGCGUGAGUGAUGAAGGUCUUCGGAUCGUAAAACUCUGUUAUUGGGGAAGAACAUAUGUGUAAGUAACUGUGCACAUCUUGACGGUACCUAAUCAGAAAGCCACGGCUAACUACGUG
rnacentral:rRNA from 1 species